rnacentral:rRNA from 1 species
CCUACGGUGGGCAGCAGUGGGGAAUAUUGCACAAUGGGCGCAAGCCUGAUGCAGCCAUGCCGCGUGUGUGAAGAAGGCCUUCGGGUUGUAAAGCACUUUCAGCGGGGAGGAAGGCGGUGAGGUUAAUAACCUCAUCGAUUGACGUUACCCGCAGAAGAAGCACCGGCUAACUCCGUGCCAGCAGCCGCGGUAAUACGGAGGGUGCAAGCGUUAAUCGGAAUUACUGGGCGUAAAGCGCACGCAGGCGGUCUGUCAAGUCGGAUGUGAAAUCCCCGGGCUCAACCUGGGAACUGCAUUCGAAACUGGCAGGCUAGAGUCUUGUAGAGGGGGGUAGAAUUCCAGGUGUAGCGGUGAAAUGCGUAGAGAUCUGGAGGAAUACCGGUGGCGAAGGCGGCCCCUGGACAAAGACUGACGCUCAGGUGCGAAAGCGUGGGGAGCAAACAGGAUUAGAUACCCCGGUAGUC